UUGAAAUCCAAUUUGAACAGAGUUUCUUUCCUCCCUCCUCGCAUACGGUGGCGACUUCAUCUCCCUUCCCUAAUUUCGCUGGCAUCUCCCACUCCAUCACUCCGCCUUUCACUCUCACACCUUCAUUUCGUUUGUAUCAAGCCUAAAGCCAACCCUCCAAACCCAAUCAUAAACAAAAACCUAAUCGAACAUAGUCUGAAAUUAAACAGGGAUGCAGCGUUGGAUCGAGCCAUAAGCUUAGGGAUUUUGUUCGGUGGCAUACAAGCUAUACAAUGGUAUAAAGAUUGGUGUAAGAAGGUAAAGAAGAAGACUAACCACCGGAGCAAUUCCGGCAAUUCUUCAUGGUGGAGAGACGAACAAAAAAACAGAGAUUAA